AUGCACUCGCAGAGCCAGAUGAUCCUCCACGGCGACGUCAAAUCCGGCAACAUCCUCCUCGACGACAGCUUCACGCCCAAAGUGUCGGACUUUGGGACGUCCAGGCUCAUGUCCAUCAACAAGGACCACACCAACUGGGUGGUCGGGGACAGCAGCUACAUCAACCCCGUGUACAUGAAGAUCGGGCUGCUCACCGCUAAGAGUGACGUGUACAGCUUCGGUAUCGUGCUGCUCGAGCUCGUCACCCGAAAGAAGGCUAGGUACGGGGAGAAUCGUAGCCUUCCGAUGGACUACAUCAAGGCUUCCAAGGAUGGCCCAACAAGGCAGAUGUUCGAUGAUGAGGUUUCAGCCAAUGUGGAGGAAAACAUGGAGUGCCUCGAGGAGGUUGGCAAGAUCGCGGUGCAGUGUCUCGAGGAAGACGUGAAUAACAGGCCUACCAUGGGAGAAGUCAAGGAGAAACUUGAAAAGUGCAAGAGCCAAUGGUUGCAAAACCAGGGGAAGGCAAAUGAGGUAAUCCCCUAG
rnacentral:rRNA from 1 species